rnacentral:rRNA from 1 species
AGUGAACGCUGGCGGUAGGCCUAACACAUGCAAGUCGAACGGCAGCACAGUAAGAGCUUGCUCUUACGGGUGGCGAGUGGCGGACGGGUGAGGAAUACAUCGGAAUCUACUUUUUCGUGGGGGAUAACGUAGGGAAACUUACGCUAAUACCGCAUACGACCUACGGGUGAAAGCAGGGGAUCUUCUGACCUUGCGCGAUUGAAUGAGCCGAUGUCGGAUUAGCUAGUUGGCGGGGUAAAGGCCCACCAAGGCGACGAUCCGUAGCUGGUCUGAGAGGAUGAUCAGCCACACUGGAACGGAGACACGGUCCAGACUCCUACGGGAGGCCGCAGUGGGGAAUAUUGGACAAUGGGCGCAAGCCUGAUCCAGCCAUACCGCGUGGGUGAAGAAGGCCUUCGGGUUGUAAAGCCCUUUUGUUGGGAAAGAAAAGCAGCAGGUUAAUACCCCGCUGUUCUGACGGUACCCAAAGAAUAAGCACCGGCUAACUUCGUG